UCACCAAAGCGUAAGUGUUGAUGAUAUAAUUUGUAUCAGUGUACUGUUAAAAGAAACUUCAUUUAUGCAUAAUUUAAUGCAAACCAGUGUUAUUGAAACAGUUAUGAGAACGAGCUUUAUUUUGUUUAGAGGGGAGAAAAGUGCUCCAUAGACCCUUUGUAUUUCCGGUGCGAGUGUAAAGCAUUCAAAGGGAAAUCGAGUCUGCAUUGGCCGUGUUAACGUGUACAUGUGCUAGAGUGGUGAUGAGCUCAUGAAAGGCUACUACCGUUGUCUAUGUUAGCUGGUUAUUGUGAAUGUGGGGAAAAAGAGGCACACUCAUUUUGUUGUGAGAUCAAACUUUAUUGUUCUCAAUGGCCGUAUUUAAGUUGUAAUCUUUCUGUCCCGAUCCCCCAAAAUUUGCAUACUUAAUGCUGCGCUG